GAUUGGGCAGUGAUGAUACUUAUUCAGCUUUAAUGCCAGUUCUGCUUCUGAAAAUUCCUGAUUGAUAGAGCUGUUUAUAUUCUGAGCCAUUU